GUGAAUCAUCAAAUCUUUGAACGCAAAUUGCACUCUCUUCUGAGAGGAUGCCUGUUUGAGGGUCAGUAUCAAUAAAAAUCGGUCCGUUGCUUCUUUGUGACGGUCCUGAGGUUGGGGUAUCUUAAUAUCUUUUAGGUUUUAAGUGGCUUAAAAUUGACUUUUUUUGCGCAUUUUAGUUUUACUUAUAUUUUUUUUUUUAUUCGUCGU
rnacentral:misc_RNA from 1 species